rnacentral:rRNA from 1 species
CCUACGGGACGCAGCAGUGAGGAAUAUUGGUCAAUGGGAGAGAUCCUGAACCAGCCAAGCCGCGUGAGGGAAGACGGCCCUAUGGGUUGUAAACCUCUUUUGUCGGAGAACAAAACCCGGGACGUGUCCCGGACUGCGUGUAUCCGAAGAAAAAGCAUCGGCUAACUCCGUGCCAGCAGCCGCGGUAAUACGGAGGAUGCGAGCGUUAUCCGGAUUUAUUGGGUUUAAAGGGUGCGCAGGCGGAGGCACAAGUCAGCGGUAAAAUCGCGGGGCUCAACCCCGCUCCGCCGUUGACACU